AGUGCUUGACUUCAGCCUCCGGAGGAACAAAGUGUGGGCUCUCUGACAUCACAGUGCCAUGCUACGUGCCCCAGCUUUUCCAGUGUGCCUUGAGAAAAAGGCUUCCUCUGCUGUACAUUAUUGAUGUGGCUUGAAUUGAAUGUCUCUUUGUUCCUCCAUCGAUGGACACAAGGCGCGCGUCUCCCCUACAUGGAGAGUAGUGGAGAAGACGUUUCACUUUUCCCCGGGCUGCUCGGAAAAUCAUCGAUCUUACCUUCUCGUAGCCGGAUAAAACCAGGCAGACUGCGAACUCCUCAGCCCUUCAGAGAGCUGACGUGACGCUGCUUUGAGGAGAGGGGUAGGUUCAAGUGGACUGUGGCUCGGAGUGUACGCUAGACCGCAGGUGUUUUGUGACUUACGAGACAAACAGAUUAAAGGAGGUGGAGUUGGAGGGCACCGGAGACACCGAGGCGUAACACCGGUCCAGAAGAACAAAGUACCUGUGGAGAAAGAAUGAGGUCCCCAGCACCGAGUCAGAGACUCCAGGUCACAGCUGGAGUUCCAAACACCUGAGACCGUGGCCGUCGGGAGGCGGGACUUCUGCAGGAUGCGGCGGAGGCGGAGCGUCAGCAGGAAGAAGCCCAUGCUGACACCGCCCAGAACGACCACACCUGAGACCAGAGCGCUGGUCACCAGGUUCAGCCGCCCGGAGGCGUCACGAGAUGCUGGAGGAACGAAAGGUGAACAAAAGCAGAAAAUAAGACACAUUCUUCACGUGGGUUUAAACUGGGUUUGAUAAA